rnacentral:misc_RNA from 1 species
AGGAGAAACAUGGAGGCUGUGCUACAGACUAAAGGACUUCUUUCUCUACCACCAAACCCCAAAACCAGAGCUUCUUUGUACCCCUCACAAGGCUUAAAGCAGAGACUUUUUGCUGCUAAACCUAAAACCGUUUCUGGGCUUUCUUUAUCUUCAAAUGAUUUUCCUAGAUUUCCCAGCGUUGGGUCGAAACCAAAUGGGUUUCCCCCAAAAGAUAGAAAUUUGCAUAUUUGCAGGGCAGAGGCGGCGGCUGNCGGCUGAUGGGCAGCCUUUAUUUGGUGAAGCUGAGAAGCCUAAGCUCUUGGGUAUUGAGCUCUCAACCCUCAGGAAAAUUAUCCCACUGGGGUUGAUGUUCUUUUGUAUUCUUUUUAACUAUACAAUCCUCAGAGACACGAAGGAUGUGUUGGUCGUGACAGCUAAAGGGAGUAGCGCAGAAAUUAUACCGUUUCUGAAAACUUGGGUGAAUCUGCCAAUGGCUAUUGGGUUUAUGUUGUUGUACACUCAAUUGUCUAACGUUUUGUCUAAGCAGGCUCUCUUU